ensembl:snRNA U2 U2 spliceosomal RNA
GUCGCUUCUGGGCCUUUUGGCUAAGAUCAAGUGUAGUAUCUGUUCUUAUCAGUUUAAUAAAUUGUAAGAUAUGCAUGGCCUCAGUUCUCAGGAUGUGUAUAUGUAUAGUAUACUGUACGUGAUACAGUUCAUCAGUUGCUAUGCAUAUUACACAACUCCAGGGAGCACCAUCC